rnacentral:rRNA from 1 species
AGAGUGAACGCUGGCGGUAGGCCUAACACAUGCAAGUCGAACGGCAGCACGGUAAGAGCUUGCUCUUAUGGGUGGCGAGUGGCGGACGGGUGAGGAAUACAUCGGAAUCUACCUUUUGGUGGGGGAUAACGUAGGGAAACUUACGCUAAUACCGCAUACGCCCUUCGGGGGAAAGCCGGGGACCAGCAAUGGCCUGGUGCUGAUAGAUGAGCCGAUGUCGGAUUAGCUAGUUGGUGAGGUAAUGGCUCACCAAGGCGACGAUCCGUAGCUGGUCUGAGAGGAUGAUCAGCCACACUGGAACUGAGACACGGUCCAGACUCCUACGGGAGGCAGCAGGUGGGGAAUAGUUGGACAAUGGGCGCAAGCCUGAUCCAGCCAUACCGCGUGGUGAAGAAGGCCUUCGGUUGUAAACGUCCCGUUUUAGGUUGGAAAGAAAGACUAAGUUACGGUUAAUACCCGGUUGUUACGUUAGAACCGGUAACCAAACGAAUAA